AUUGAACGCUGGCGGCAGGCCUAACACAUGCAAGUCGAACGAGUGGCGGACGGGUGAGUAAUGUCUGGGAAACAGCCUGAUGGAGGGGGGUAACUAGUGGAAACGGUAGCUAAUAACGCAUACCAUCAGAGGUGCCCAGAUGGGCUUAGCUUGUUGGGGGGGUAACGGCUCACCAAGGGGACGAUCCCUAGCUGGUCUGAGAGGAUGAACAGCCACACUGGAACUGAGACACGGUCCAGACUCCUACGGGAGGCAGCAGUGGGGAAUAUUGCACAAUGGGCGCAAGCCUGAUGCAGCCAUGCCGCGUGUAUGAAGAAGGCCUUCGGGUUGUAAAGUACUUUCAGCGGGGAGGCGUUACCCGAAGAAUAAGCACCGGCUAACUCCGUGCCAGCAGCCGCGGUAAUAC
rnacentral:rRNA from 1 species